GCGGGCGUGGUGGAAUUGGUAGACACGCUGGAUUUAGGUUCCAGUGGCCUUAGGCCUUGGGGGUUCAAGUCCCUUCGCCCGCA
rnacentral:tRNA from 1 species